GUGCUCACUUCGGCAGCACAUAUACUAAAAUUGGAACGAUACAGAGAAGAUUAGCAUGGCUCCUGCUGAAGGAUGACAUGAAAAAUAAAAAUUCCUGAAGCUUUC